rnacentral:rRNA from 1 species
GAUCCUGGCUCAGGAUGAACGCUAGCUACAGGCUUAACACAUGCAAGUCGAGGGGCAGCGGGAAGUCAGCUUGCUGACUUUGCCGGCGACCGGCGCACGGGUGAGUAACACGUAUCCAACCUUCCCGUUACUCUGGAAUAGCCUUUCGAAAGAAAGAUUAAUACCGGAUAGUAUCGAGAGAUUGCAUGAUUACCCGAUUAAAGAUUCAUCGGUAACGGAUGGGGAUGCGUUCCGUUAGGCAGUUGGG